AUUGAACGCUGGCGGCAGGCCUAACACAUGCAAGUCGGGCGAGAGGCGGACGGGUGAGUAAUGUAUGGGGAUCUGCCUGAUGGCGGGGGAUAACUACUGGAAACGGUUGCUAAUACCGCAUACUAUCGGAUGAACCCAUAUGGGAUUAGCUAGUAGGUUGGGUAAAGGUUCACCUAGGCGACGAUCUCUAGCUGGUCUGAGAGGAUGAACAGCCACACUGGGACUGAGACACGUCCCAGACUCCUACGGGAGGCAGCAGUGGGGAAAAUUGCACAAGGGGCGCAAGCCUGAUGCAGCCAUGCCGCGUGUAUGAAGAAGGCCUUAGGGUUGUAAAGUACUUUCAGCGGGGAGGCGUUACCCGCAGAAGAAGCACCGGCUAACUCCGUGCCAGCCGCCGCGGUAAUUC
rnacentral:rRNA from 1 species